CGGUUGAUCCUGCCGGAGGUUACUGCUAUUGGAAUCCGAUUAAGCCAUGCGAGUCGAUCGGGUUUUAGACCCGAGGCACACUGCUCAGUAACACGUGGAGAAUCUGCCCUUAGGUGAGAGAUAACCUCGGGAAACCGAGAAUAAUAUCUCAUAGGUUAUGAAUGCUGGAAUGCUUCAUAGCUGAAAGCCCCGGCGCCUAAGGAUGACUCUGCGGACUAUCAGGUAGUAGUCAGGGUAAUAACCUGACUAGCCUACGACGGAUACGGGGUGUGAGAGCACUAGCCCGGAGAUGGAUUCUGAGACACGAAUCCAGGCCCUACGGGGUGCAGCAGGCGCGAAACUUCCGCAAUGCUCGCAAGAGUGACGGAGGGAUUCCAAGUGCCUAUGCAAUGCGUAGGCUGUUCCCAUGUCUAAAUAACAUGGGGAGUAAGAGCUGGGUAAGACGGGUGCCAGCCGCCGCGGUAAUACCUGCAGCUCGAGUGGUAACCGCUAUUAUUGGGCCUAAAGCGUCCGUAGCCGGUUUAGUAAAUAUUUGGGUAAAUCGUGAGGCUUAACUUCACGAAUUUCGGAUAGACUGCUAGACUUGGGACCGGGGGAGGUCAGAGGUACUCCAGGGGUAGCGGUGAAAUGUUGUAAUCCUUGGAGGACCACCGGUAGCGAAGGCGUCUGACUAGAACGGGUCCGACGGUGAGGGACGAAGCCCUGGGGCGCAAACCGGAUUAGAUACCCGGGUAGUCCAGGGUGUAAACGAUGUGGGCUUUGUAUUGGAGGUCCCACGUGGGCGUCCAGUGCAGGAGAGAAGUUGUUAAGCCCACCGCCUGGGAAGUACGGUCGCAAGGCUGAGACUUAAAGGAAUUGGCGGGGGAGCAC
rnacentral:rRNA from 1 species